rnacentral:lncRNA from 1 species
CUGCACUCUUUUAGAUCUACCCCGUUGAGUGGCAUUCUUGUGAAAAUUAUGUAAAGAUAUUUAUCAGAAUAAGGUAGAAGUGUAGGGGGUGGCAGGUGAGGUGCAGAAGAAGAAGAAGAAGAAGAAGAAGUUGUACCUAUCCAGUAAUUUUAUCUUGAUUUGUGGACUAGACGAAGACUAGAUUUUGAUGAAGAAAUCGACAAACUUGAACUGCAGGACUCGUGGCGCUGCUCGCCUCCUCGCCAAUGCGAAUGCGUUCUCUGAGGACAACUCGCCCAAGGCUACCAUGGCGAAGCCACGCCACCGCGCCGGCUAUAGACUCACGGCCUGAAGCGAGUUUGGGCGCGACGGCUGGCGAGCCAAGGCGGCGGGAAGUCGUCUGGCGGAGCUCCCGUCUGAGGCGAGCUUGAUCUGGUCAGACAGCUCCGCCACCGAUGGUGUGCUAGAUGGAGGAGGAGGGGCCACCCCCCCCCCCCCCGAACCGCGACAUCCGAGAGGUGCGUGUCGCGGCAGGCGCCCUCUGCUCUAGCACGCGCGGCGAGCUAUUCGCCCUGCUGAUGGAGGGGCGUCCCCCGCCGCCGGUUCGUGGACCCAACAGGCUGGACGCAGUGGAGACCCACCAACUACGAGCAGGACACUGGUCCGGGUCAGCCCAGUACCUGCACAGAAUCGGGCGGCACCCAUCGCCGGAGUGCGCCCAGUGCAGUGAUCGGGGAUGCCGGGCAGGAUGGUGCCGCGCCUGCGGCGAAGAGGCCGACACCCCGGACCAUGUCCUUCUGCGGUGCCCGGCGCUGAUGAACGCCCGGCUCCGCAUCUUCGGCACCAUCUUCCCGAGCCUGAGCGACGUGCGACGAGACGACGCGGUGGCGGCCCUGGCGAGGGUCGCCAGGUACCUCCAGAGCCGUUAAGGCUACAGCUCACCAGAGCCUGGAGGGACAGCACAACAACAACAACAGCUAUUCGCCCUAAGAGCGGUGUUGGAGGAGCUGGCCGGACGGAUGGUACCGGUCGAUAUGGGUCGACCGCCGUCUAUCCGGUCCAUUCUGCUGUUCCAGCUCCAGGACCGGCCGCGCCGUCGCCACCCGUCCGGCGUCAGUGGAGGACCGCUCAUCAGCUGUCGAUUUUCAUCAGUUUCGCUUGGACCACUGGUCGGGCUCCUGCCAGUGCCGACAUUGGGUUGGGCGGAGUCCUACCGAUGAAUGCCGCGAGUGCUGCAACAUUGGCUCGGUACAUCUCGGUACAUUUUCCCGAGUCUGGUGUGGCUACGGGGAGACGGAUUUGGUGACCCUGGCUGCCGCCGUGAGAACCAUCCAGAACCGUACGGCUAUGCUGCGGCAGCAGCUGAAAGGAACGCAACAACAAUAACUACAACAGCAGCUGCUAAUGAAAGGGGAAAUCAUGGAGCCGGAUGACCCGGCACAUGGCGCUCAGCCAGCUGAGAAUGAGAGCAGCUAUCAAAUCGCCAGCAGGGUGCUGCGGCUGGUAACUGACGACCUUAACAGAGAGAGCGCCUCCGCUGAUGCGGAUGAAACUACCCCCUCUCGGGUUUGUUUGACGCCGUCUCCGUCGACUCUUUCGCCUGGGCCGGCUGGCGACCGCGACAUUUCUUGUGCAGUGACUCGUAACUAUGUUCACCAAACUUUUAAAACUCCUCACGUUAGCAUCUUUAAAGAAUGUUUCCCUUGUACACUGCUGCAAUGUCUUAUGUAGGCAUAUUGUAGGUACAGUCCAAACGAGUGUGGAAUGCUUUGUUGUGCUUGCUUGUUCUGUAUUUCGUUUGCUAUUUAUCACGGUGACUAUAAUUUAUUUUGACCAACCCUUGCCUUGUUGCAAUUUUAGUGGAUGGUUUCUGAACUGCUGUUUGCAUUAUAGAUGUUGCUAGUGCGUAGACGCCAAAGAUUACUUUAUACCUAUUGACGCGCCAGAUAAAGGAGGUGAAGUAUUCCUCUGAUCUCUACCUACGAAAUUCCUUUAUGUGUGUUUUGUAAUCGAUAUUGGCGGUUUUCUUAUGUGAUGCGGUGUAGAGCGUGGCUGAGGAAGGCGAUGUUUAAAGUUGCUAGUUAUUUUUCAAUACAUCUAUGAUCGGAC